rnacentral:misc_RNA from 1 species
CCUUCACGUCUCUUCAUUUGUUGGCACGAGCWCAUGCUCGACCGAUCUUGGUUAUCCUGUGUUGAAUACCUAUCGUGAGGGCAUUAUGUCGGCUAAACGUUCGGUUCCCGCCUUGUGCUGUUGCUCCUUGUGUGCGGCGGUAUGGGGUGGGCCAAAUCGCGCACGUUGUGUAUCGCAUCGCGUUCGCCCCUUCGGGUGUCCGGAUUGUCGACCCACAACGUUAUGCUCGAUCUCUCGGGUACGGUGCAUCAUGUGGGUACGAGGCCGUUGGCCUCCGAGCACCACAAACAAGCGUUCUACGCUUCGUGCGAACGACGGUCGGUUCGGUCUUUGGCCGUGCUCUCGUGGCUCGGUUCAAGUCGCGCC